AGAUGAUGUUCUACAGGAUGGAAACUGAAGCAAAGAUCGUGGAUGUUGCAAAAUUUGGAAAAAAAAAACUGAUUUUCACAAUGUAUACAACAAGCUGAACAUUUUAGAAUACCUUGGAAGAAGGAAGGCUGGGAGGAUCGAGGCAGGCACGGGCAGUAUACUGGCAGGAGUGAGGACAGCACAGCCUCUACCAUGAUUGAGUUCAGAAGAGCAGACUUCAGGGCAGGCUGAUAGAUGUGAUGUGAUUAUAUAUGAGCAAUUUUUUGAAUAAUUGCAGUGGUUCGUUGGACUCACAAAACUCACAGAGCUCACAAAAUUUAUGUCUCUCUCACAAGUAGACUUGCUAAGGGUAGUGUCAGAGUAUUUUUGUAGGGGGUUAUUUCUUUCUACACUCGCAUACUCUUCCUGACAUUGAGCUUCAUACUACACUUCCUGGCAUUGAGGUCCAUCUGCCACAUCCCAGCCAAAUCAUACAACCCAUCAAGCUUGCCAUGCAACACACUAGCAUAUUGGUCUGUUCUUAUUUCUAAUCUGCUAACCAAUGUUAAAUUUCACCAACCUCUCCUCAUGCACUAUAUAAUUAUUGUGCUAGACAAGGCAUCAAUCUGACUUCAGUAUUUGAAUCCUCUAUUAUUUUUAUAUACUUCUCUCUGUAUGAUGACCAUACCACAGCGGCAUAUGUAGGCCUGGAUUGCAUCAUGCACUUUUCUUUUGUUAUAAAUAAAAGCAGCUUAUGUUUAUGAUAAAUCUGAAAAAUGUAAAUAGCAACAGGUAACAUGCUAGUUGACACACCUAUACAUCUAAGUUCUUUUGUGUUGAUUAGUUCCUAGAUAAAUAAUGAUUAACCAAAGGUUCCAGUAUACCUCUUAUACCAAACAAACUAAAUAAAACUUACCUCUCAUGGAGCACUCAACCACAAUUAAUGUGCUGACUUAAAAAUAAAAAAUAAAAAACUACUGUGAUGAUAAUGCAGUGGUUAAUGCUCAUGCUGAUUAUGAUAAGUUAGACUGGUUUGAUUUAGUUCAAUACAUAUUGGAAUAUUUCUAUCAGGCCCAGUGUACCUGUAUUGUUAUCUCCCACUUAUCAGCCAAAUGUUGCUGCUACUUUUGACUUUUUGGGUUUAUUUCUUCAGUCAAAAACUUACCCUAUUUCUAUCACAAUAUAUUGAUGUGGCAGAUUUUUAAAAACAAUGAAUUGAUAAAGAACACUAUUAGGCUGUCUUAUCCUCCUUUGUGGCGAUCACAUGGCAUUCUUGUGAAGACAGCAGAGCAUUAUGUCACCUGAACUAAUGUACUAGAUGAAACAUAUAGCAAACCUUAACUUUGAGGAAAUUCUACACUCCAUCGUGCCAUGAUCAAAUUAAGAUGGGCAGGAGCAUUGGCAGUGAGGAGAAUGAUUCACGAACUUGGACGUAAAAAAAGUUUUGAAAGGAAUGAGCAGAGCAGAGGUGAAGCAUAUAUGAGCAUAGCUGGGCACGAUAACAGAAAACCUUAUCCCCGAUAACUGAUAAUGGAAAACCUUAUCGGUAAUAACCGAUAUUCGUUAACUGGAAACAAAUAUAGGCGAUAACCGAUACCCGAUAUUAAUCCACAAUUCCGAUACUAGCUAGCGAUAAGCCCGAUAGGCGAAAACGAUACUAUAUUGAUAUUUCAAAUAAAAAUAUAGAUGAA